CCUUCGGGUGGCAGCAGUGAGGAAUAUUGGUCAAUGGGCGCGAGCCUGAACCAGCCAAGUAGCGUGAAGGAUGACUGCCCUACGGGUUGUAAACUUCUUUUAUAAAGGAAUAAAGUGAGGCACGUGUGCCUUUCUGUGUGUACUUUAUGAAUAAGGAUCGGCUAACUCCGUGCCAGCAGCCGCGGUAAUACGGAGGAUCCGAGCGUUAUCCGGAUUUAUUGGGCGUAAAGGGAGCGCAGGCGGUCUUUUAAGUCUGCUGUGAAAGCCGUGGGCUUAACCGGAGGAGUGCAUUGGAAACUGGGAGACUUGAGUGGAGGAGAGGAGGGUGGAACGCGAUGUGUAGCGGUGAAAUGCGUAGAUAUUGCGCAGAACUCCGAUUGCGAAGGCAGCAUACCGGCGGCGAUCUGACGCUGAGGCACGAAAGCGUGGGUAUCGAACAGGAUUAGAUACCCGGGUAGUC
rnacentral:rRNA from 1 species